UCUAAACCACUUCUAUUUCCAUCCUGCUGAGCGAGGCUUCCGGGAGGGCUGACUAGAACUCUCCUUGGGCUUUCUUCAUCAGUGUCGUUCUGAUUUUAUUCAUUUCUCUUUACUGGUUCUAUUUUCCCUACAAAAUGAUAGUUCUGUGCUGAUAUCCUUUGAGGCAGGAAAUUGGAAUUCGCCUGGUGAUGAUAGGAGGAGGCAUCCGUUGGGGGAGGAGGGGGCAUGAGGGUGGCUAACUCACCCCUCCUGUGGUUCCCGCUCCGCUUUCCUCUUAUACUCCCGGCCUUCACGCCAAGCCUGUAGCUCUAGAAAUCACAAAAGGACUGGACCCUGUUCUUUAAAAGGCAAAGCAUGAGUCUAACACAAAACCACAGAGAGGAUCCGGCGGACUUCACGGGUGUAAUUUUGAAGAGUUCUAGGGAAUCAUUUUGUAAAAGACCCAGUUAACAGGUCAGUCAUAGGACCUGCGUUUGAGACGUGCCCUGUUGAUACCUGGAGGAAAGAAACGUCCUUAUCUCUGAAGACACAAGGACUUCAGAGAUAGAUCUGAACAAACACCCCUUCGGCUGCCGAGUGUCUGACGGGACAAAUCCUUCCAACGGCCGCAGCAGGUGCUUCUUCUAGCCCUGUGUUGCAAUGACCUGCAGCUCCCGGGGAUAACUCAGGCACGCUGCUGACGCCAUCAGGAGGCUCAACACCCUCACCCGCUUACGCUACGACCAGCAAAAGCAAACCCCGCAGCUGCCUGCCAGCCGGGAAGAAGGACUGUGUUUCCAUGUUGUGAGUCUCCUCAUUGCAGCCAGAUGAUGAAUUUGCUGCUGGCUUUGUGCGAAACCGAGAAAUACCCAGCGUCCAGCUGAGGGCCCGGGUGGCAACAAAAUCAAGCCGAUGAAUUAAAGAAAUACGGCCUGGUCAGGAUGCCUGGAGGCCUCAGAGUUCUGAUCUUUCUUCUGAGUUACUACAUCUUCUGAACUGCUCCCAGGAUGGUGUUCGUGAUAAGUUGGUUUGCCCAGUAAAACUGUCGCCCAGUGGAGGCAAGCCCUACCUCCUGUCCUUUCUCAUGCAGUGGUGUGGAGCAUGGUGGGGAAGAAAGGGCAUUCGACAGCAAGUCAAAAACUUUGGAUUUCAUUCAUGGCUGUGACACUUUUGGGAGUUGGGGUCAGUGGCUCAGUGUUGGGGGGAUCUCAUUUCUCUCCAACUCCAUAGGGCUGUGAGAUCACCCACAGCUUUGAUUUGCAUGUCCAAGCUCAUCCCAGCACUUUCUCCUCAGAAUCUGGCUAACACUUCAAGUCACUCACUAGCUUCCAGAACUAUGGUUAGCUCAGACUCAGUUGUAGCUUCCCCAAACUGUCAUCCUACUGUUUUUAUCUUACAGUUGAAGGAACUGAAUCCCAAACAGCCCGAGCAACCCAUUCAGAAUCACACCACAGAUUUCCUCACCCCUCUUCCACACCACAGAGCCUUCCCAUUUUUACGUCUUUUAUAUUAAGACAAAACCAAAAACUCAUAAUUAAGGCAGUAGUGUAGAAACCUGAAAGAUAUUUUGUUUUAAAAGGUUCACUGUAAACCAGGAUUUAGAAAAUGCAAACCCUUGGGUAAAAUGAAGUGUUUUCAGGACACUCACCAGCAGGAUCCCUGGCCCCAAUUCUGAGAAUGUGACCAUAAGGACAAGAGGCCUGACUGGUCACCCCGGGCCAGGCCACCUCUCUGACAGUCUGGGAUUCUCCCUGCAUGCCCCAGAUCCAUCCUAAUGAUGCAGCUCAGGUGCUGAGAGCAACUGAUCAGAUGUUGGCAGAGUCAUCUAAAUCCAUAGGCAGCCAAGCAGCCACUCUACUUUGCCUGGCAGAGCUGCAGCAGGCACCUGCAGACACCACCCAAGAGACAUUUCUGCAGUCGCUGAAAUGUCUGGAAUCUGUACUCCUGGAGCAGUGGCGAGUGGGCACAGGUGGCUAUGGAGACUUAGAAUGGGGCUAGUGCAAGUGGGAAACUGCAUUUGCAGUUUUAUGUCAUUCUAACUGGUUUAAAGUUUAUGCAGCCACAUGUGGUUAGCGACUAAAGCACUGGACAACACAGUUAGAAAAGUCCCUCUCCUGGGCACUGCCAGCUGCAGGCACAUUCCUAACCUAAGACGUCCUGCUUGUUCCUCUGGGUGUGUGGGCUGCAGUCUCAGUGUCUGCUCACGCAUGUGGACACACCUGCCUUUGCCAGCACAUAACUCACCCACCCCUUCGCACACACAUACACAUGCCCCCAAUUCAUCUUAACUUUGAGUGUCCAAGUCUUUUCUUGGCCUCACCUGCAGUCUUGAUGCCCCAGGUAGGAAUCUUUGCAUAUUGAGGGAGGGGCCUGUGGGAAGCAAACUGCAUUCUCGUCCUUACUCCGUGAUCGUCAAGGAUUCACCCCUGCCAUCUUCUCCCCCUGACCUCAGCGAGAGCACCGUUCAGCAGUUUGCCUAACUGAGAAUCCACAGCUCCUCGUCCCUGUCUGGCUCCCUGUCUCGGAAGCAAUGUUCUCGCGUCUUCCUCCAGACAGGCAGCUGCUGGCAUCUUCACAGCUCCCUCUCUCCGCGGCUGAAGUCAGGACCCACAGAUGGUGCCGCUUGUUUUCCUCGGCAGCUCUGCUUACCGCAUUUACAGGGGUGGCAGAAGCCAGUGCGAAUGAAUAUUAAAUCAACUAAGGCAGAACUUCUCAAAAUACACUCCUCAAAACAGGUUUUUUUCUUUUUUUUCUUUUUUUUUUAACCCCACAGACUGAGUCCAUUUUAGCUUCAGCGAAAACCACACUCUCACCUUCCUUUCUGUGAAUUACCAGGAAAGAGCUCAAUUUUACUUUUUUUUUUUUUUUUUCUGUCAAACAUUUUCUUCCUAAACUUUUUGGCUGCUACCUGUUUUCAAGCAGACGGCUAAUCCGGUAGCAAAUGAACUGGGUUUUUCUUAGGCUUGACAUAUUUCUGUCAACAGCCUUUUUCUUUUUUUUAAACUAAGCCCAGAUUUUUGUGCAAAACCAAGAAAUACCCAGUGUCCAACUGAGGGCCCGGGUGGCAACAAAAUCAAGCCAAUGAAUUAAAGAAAUAUUGCCUGGUCAGGAUGCCUGGACGCCUCAGAGUUCUGAUCUUUCUUCUGAAUGACUACAUCUUCUGGACUGCUCCCAGGAUGGUGUUUGUGGUAAGUUGGUUUGCCCAGUAAAACUGUCACCCAAUGAAGGCAAGCCCUACCUCCUGUCCUUUCUCAUGCAGUGGUGUGGAGCGUGGUAGGGAAGAAAGGGCAUUCGACAGCAAGUCGAAAACUCUGGAUUUCAUUUGUGGCUCUUACACUCCUUUUUGAAGGGAGUUUUGAAGCAAGCUUGCAUGCGGUUACACCUGAACUCUCAGUUAAGAGCAAUUCCAUUCUUCCAGUUGCUUGGGCCAAAAACUUCUAUAUCAGUCUUAACUUGUAUUUCUCUCAUACACAUAUGCAGUCUGUCAGCUCCACCUCCACCAAAUAUGGACAUCUGGAUGCCAUUCCUACCUCCCCUGCCAACCCCCUGGUCCAAGCGACCAUGGCCUCUCAGCUGGGUGAAUGCAAGAGACCCUUCUCUGAUCUCCUUGUAUCACCCUUGAGCUUUUAAAAUCUAUUUCCCACCCAGCAGCCUAAGAACCCCCUUCCCCCUCUGUGGUUCUCCUCCUCACUCAGGAAUAAGCCCUGCACGAUCUAGAGCCCCUUCCCGGCCUCUCCCUGCACGGGCAUCCCGCCCUCGCUUCCCCUUCCCCCUUCCUCACCCCUCCCCCGCCUCUUUCCCGUCGUCCAGCACACCCUGCUCCACCUCCGUGGGCACUUGCUGUUUCCUCUGCCAGAACACUGUUCCCAGUAUCUUCACAACCCAAUCCCUCACUUCCUCCAUAUUCUGGCCUUCCUAAGCAUUUUAUCUGAAGUUCCAGCAUCCUCUUGCCCCAACACGUAAUACAGACACACAUUCCUGGCUUUAGUGUUCCUUGCUAACAUUUCGCUCUUGAAAGCAUAUCUCAGGCAGUUACUCUGUUUAUUUUCAAUCUCCCGCGUAAGAACGUAGCUUCCUGAGGGCAGGAAUUUGGGUCUCUUUUGUUCACUGCUGUGACCUCGUUGUCCAGAGGAGUGUCUAGCCCUCCGUAGGCACUCGGGAAAAGUUAAGUGACUUCAUGAAGGCGUCUUCUCCACAGCAGUACCCACAUUCUGUAUUGUGGUGUCAACGCUGGCUCACUUUGAAAUGACUGGCCUCUAAUGUAGAGAUAACCCAACCCUCAACACAGUCACUGCCCGACUCUUCAAAAGCCCUAUAACCAUUGAGGUAGGUUAUUAAACUUAGUAUCAUAGGCUGUUUUAAAAAAACGACAAGGAUUUUUGAGGUAU